GCUUGCUCAAUUUCAUUCAAUUUGACACCAGAGUCGUACCCCAAUCCCAAGACAUGCCAUCUCCGAUCUAUAGCACGUGUAUGUUUGUAGAAGGUCAUCCAACCAAUGGGCAAAGUACCAGCUUUCAUUAAUGGUCUAUCACUUCCCAGCUCCAAGUACUUGUGAUAGAGCCCAGUCAAGUUUCGUUUCCUCCACUCCUGCAGAUCAAACAAAUUCAUCCCAAAUGCCCAUGUGCAUGAUUUCGCGUCAAAUUUCGUUGCCACCAUGGGGUCAGUGAAAUUGAUGAGCAUAUCCAUUCGCCGGAAUGACGGCUCGCCUUCAAGACAAGUCUCCACCGCACCAUUCACUUUACCAUUCAUGUUGAUGUGCCAAAGUCCACUUAGAUCCCUUUUCACAACCACGUCAUGAUCAAGGAGCACUAUCUUGUUGAGAUAAGGAAAAAUUUCAGGCAGGUAGAAGCGCAGGUGAUUCAGUGGAGAAGUGUAUCUUGGAUCAAGAGACUCUUGCUUCUGCAGAGUAUCCUUGUUCAGUAACCAAUCA
rnacentral:misc_RNA from 1 species